CCUACGGGUGGCAGCAGUGAGGAAUAUUGGUCAAUGGACGAAAGUCUGAACCAGCCAAGUAGCGUGAAGGAUGACUGCCCUAGGGGUUGUAAACGUCUUUUAUAUGGGAAUAAAAAGAGGUAUGCAUACCCUUUUGUAUGUACCAUAUGAAUAAGGAUCGGCUAACUCCGUGCCAGCAGCCGCGGUAAUACGGAGGAUCCGAGCGUUAUCCGGAUUUAGUGGGUUUAAAGGGAGCGUAGGUGGAUUGUUAAGUCAGUUGUGAAGUUUUGCGGCUAAACCGUAAAAUUGCAGUUGAAACUGGCUGUCUUGAGUACUGUAGAGGUGAGCGGAAUUCCUAGUGUAGCGGUGAAAUGCUUAGAUAUCACGAAGAACUCCGAUUGCGAAGGCAGCUCACUGGACUGCAACUGACACUGAUGCUCGAAAGUGUGGGUAUCAAACAGGAUUAGAUACCCCAGUAGUC
rnacentral:rRNA from 1 species